GUAACCAUCAAAAGAGAAAGAGAAUAUUAUGAGAGAGAGAGAACCAAAAGCUGAAAAAUCCUGGAACUGAUUUCUACUUCUUUACCACACUACCCAGCUAAUCUAAGAAGGCGACGCCUUCAAAACGAAAAUCACAAUUUCUGUAAUUUUUUUUAAGUGUUUCGAUUUCUGCUUCCAAAUGGAGCAAAUCACUACCACUUUAAGCUUGACGCUUGUGGUAUAAUUUAGAAGAUUUUUUCUUUUUAAUCUCUGCCUUCAAAGAAGUUUUUAAGGUUGUGUUGUCGGGGAUGGGUUGCCGGAGGAUGGUGGCGGGGAACUUGGAUCCGGACAGGAAGAGGAGCGGCGGACUUAGGACGAAGCAGGCGGGAAGAGGAUCGUGUCGGGGAAGUUAGGCCUCUGGCAGAGGAAGUAAGAAGCCGGAAGAACCUGGAGUUGUUUUUGUUUGCAGUUCUUUUUCCUCCGCCGCCGCCGCUGCAAACUGGCUGAUCUUUUUAUUACAUCAUUUCAGUGCAUGUUAGUAGCUGGAGUUUUUAUUGUUGUUGUUUUUUCCUCUACUUGUUUGAUUGAUUUUUUGAAGGCUCAGUCAGUUGAAAGGAGAGCGUGAGAAGAAGUGAUACUGAUAGCUAUGGGUCAUUUGUUGAGAGAAGUUUUGAGGACACUCUGCGGUGUCAAUCAGUGGUGCUAUGCUGUGUUCUGGAAGAUCGGCUGCCAGAAUCCUAAGUUGUUAAUUUGGGAAGAAUGUUACUAUGAAUCUAAGUCAUGUUCUGUUCUUCCAUGUACUUCUGGAAUUGGGAACCCUGAGUUGCCUUUAGGAGACUCUGAAGGAUACUGGGCUUCUGAUUUUCACUCCUCACAGCUCAGGGUUCAAUCUGGAGAAACACUCCAUCUGCUUAUUAACAAAAUGAUGAUGAAUAAUCAGGUUAACGUGGUAGGCCAAGGAAUAGUUGGGCGAGCUGCAUUUACUGGAAAUCAUGAGUGGUUCCGUUCAAACAAGUACCUUGGAGAUACCCAUCCACCAGAGGUUUUAACUGAGAUACAUCACCAGUUCUCAGCUGGCAUGCAGACAGUUGCAGUUAUUCCUGUUUCUUCUAUUGGUGUUGUUCAACUUGGUUCUUCCUUGACUAUAAUGGAGAAUGUGGGAUUUGUGAAUAAUGUGAAGAGUUUGAUCCUGCAACUAGGGUGUGCCCCUGGAGCUCUUCUGUCUGAAAACCUUGUGGCAAAAGAAUCUAUGGAAAGAAUUGGGGUGCCUGUUUCUAUUGGAACGCCUGAUUCUUUUUCUGGUCAUUUGUCUGGAAAUAAGAUGCAUAACUCCACUCUAUUAUUGUCUGGAAUUUGCAAUCAACAAAAUAUCUCAUCCCAAUCUUCAAUAAUUGCUCAACCUUCUCAUUUGCAAAUUAGGCAGAUUCAAGAUAAUCUACAAUCUACUGCUUCAACAUUUCGUGCCCUGAAUCUGACCAGAAGUUCACCUGAAUCUGAUGUUGGCUUCUGUGAACCAAAAAUGACAACUAUUAAGCAAGAUGAUCCAUUAAGAGGCCAACUAGUGAAUGGAGUUGUUGGAGCUGAAGUGAUCCCAUCAAAUCCUGAUGCAUGGCUGAACCAGCAUGUUGCUACACUUAAUUCAAAGUCUCUAUUCAGUCCCCACUCUGUUAUCGCUCAAUCGCAUGCCAAUAGUAGCGUUCUGACAUUGUUGGAACAGCAGGUUUUGUCAGAUCCUAUUCCUCAAAAUCUUAUUGAUAACAACAGAAAUGCAUUAGAUAGCUUUAUCACACCUCAAAUGAGGACAAAUGAAGCCCUAAUUCUUAAUUCUCAUGGAGGUUACAUGACACCUGGGAGAGAUUUACGUAAUGGAGUGAGUAGCAAUACAAGAACCACUUCAAUUCCAUGUUCUCUUUCUAAUCUGCAAAAGUCGGCAGAUAUUAAUCACUCUUCCACACAGAUGGCAGGGGUUGGGAUUCAAAAUGUUAAUUCAUCGAGGGCUGAGGAGGUUCCUUUAUCCCAUCUGGUAGAUCAAUUAAGUGCUAGUGGCAUGCUUUCAGGGAUUUCUCGUCAUAGAAACCAUUCCACAGAUGUGAAGCAUGCUAAAAAUUUAUCAAUUGCAAAGAAAGAAAAAAUGGAUGAUGAUUUGUUUCAAGCACUUAACAUCCCAUCAUCCCAACCAGAUUCUGUUCAUGAUUACCUUAGGCAUGCAAGUGAAAGUCAGAUUAGUGCAAAUAUUGAGUAUGAGGAUCCAUGCGCUCAACCUCCAUUUGGGGAUGACUUAUAUGAUAUUCUAGGUGUGGAUUUUAAAAAUAGAUUGCUCAAUAGCAAGUGGGAUAAUUUGCUUACUGAUGGGCAGUGUGCAAAUUCACAUAUGGGUAAAGAUGCUUCAACUUUUAUGAAUGUGCAAGAAGCCAGUUCUGAUCUUUUCUCAGUUAAUCAAGGAAUAUCUGAUAGUUGUGUUUUCUCUGGCAUGGGUACUGAUCAUCUUUUAGAUGCUGUGGUAUCUAGGGCUUAUUCUGCUGCCAAGCAGAGCUCAGAUGAAAAUGUCUCUUGCAAGACAACAUUAACAAAGAUCAGUAGCUCCUCUGUUCCUAGUGCUUCUCCUACCUAUCGCCUUCUUCACACGUCUGAUCAGGUUCAAAAGGAGUUAUUUGACCUGCCUAAGUCUUUGGAAAAAUCAGGGACCAUAGCAUCCGGCUCUUUCAGAUCUGGAUGUGGCAAGGAUGAUGUUGGAAGUUGUUCUCAAACUUCUUCCAUUUAUGGAUCCCAACUGAGUUCAUGGGUUGGCCCCAAUAUUAGGCGUGAUAAGAGUGUUUCAACUGCAUAUUCCAAGAAAAAUGAUGAAUUGAGCAAACCAAAUCGCAAAAGGCUUAAACCUGGAGAGAACCCCAGGCCCAGGCCAAAAGAUCGUCAGAUGAUCCAAGAUAGGGUGAAAGAGUUGCGGGAAAUUGUACCAAAUGGGGCAAAAUGCAGCAUAGAUGCUUUGCUUGAACGUACCAUCAAACAUAUGCAAUUCUUGCAAAGUGUGACAAAGCAUGCAGACAAGCUAAAACAAACUGGGGAAUCUAAGAUUAUUAACAAGGAAGGUGGACUUCUUUUAAAGGACAGUUUUGAGGGAGGGGCAACUUGGGCAUUUGAAGUUGGGUCUCAAUCUAUGGUCUGCCCUAUUAUAGUUGAGGAUCUGAGCGCACCUCGUCAGAUGCUUGUGGAGAUGCUAUGUGAAGAAAGGGGUUUCUUUCUAGAGAUAGCCGACUUAAUUAGGGGAUUGGGGUUGACAAUCUUGAAGGGCGUGAUGGAAGCUUGGAAUGAUAAGAUCUGGGCACGAUUCACAGUGGAGGCAAACAGGGAUGUGACAAGGAUGGAAGUAUUUAUGUCACUUGUUCGUCUUUUGGAGCAAACAGUGAAGGGUGGUGCAUCAUCGACUGCUGCAUCAGAUAUGAUGGUUCAUCAUGCUUUCCCUCAAGCCACCUCUAUACCUGCAACUGGGAGGCCCAGUAGUUUACAAUGAACUGCCUGCCAAACUGUUCUCUGGUCUGAAUAUGUUAAGAGCAAGCCUGUUUUUGCUUGCCAUGACUAACAUGGAUUCCAGUCUAAGCUCUUAGGUGGUUCUAACUUUUACUAACCUUUUAUCUGUCUCCCAAAAAUUAGAUCAUUUCUGACCUCACAUCUUAGAAAAGGGAGAUUCAUCUGGAUAGUUAAAAGCUCUGCAAGAACACUCGACAUUAUGUUCCAGUUUGAUAAGAUUAUUUGAAUGCAUGGAUGAACUAGCAUCCAGAGAAAAAAAUUAGCAAGUUAGCCAAGGAUUACAUCUCCUGAAAUGGUUCAGUCGUAGAUAUUAAGCUCCUAGAAUGUCUUAUUAGUGUUUACUUGACGGGACUUAUCAUAGGAUGGAGGAGGUUUGCGUUAUAGUAGGGUUUUAUGGUUCACAAAUGUAUAGGGGACAUGGGAAAUGAAAUGAAGGGGUUAUCCUUUUUUCUUUUUUUGGCAAGACAAUAUGCCUUCUCUUUUCCUUUUUCUUUUUUUUUUGCUACAUAUUUUUCCCCUGUUAAGUUUUCCUUAUUUGCAUACUGAAAUGUGUUUUUCCUUGUGAACCCUAUUUAAAUGUGUGGUUUGCAGUCUGGAAGACAUUCUGUGUUGUCAUGAUACUAGUACCUUCUUAAUUAUUGUGUCCUAUUUUAUCUGCUCUAGGCUUUGUUUGGUGUAUAUCAUGUUUGAAUGGGGAUUUUUUUUUUUU
rnacentral:misc_RNA from 1 species